rnacentral:rRNA from 1 species
UACAGAGGGGGCAAGCGUUGUUCGGAAUUACUGGGCGUAAAGGGCGCGUAGGUGGCCUUCUAAGUUGAACGUGAAAUCCCUGGGCUCAACCCAGGAACUGCGUCCAAGACUGGGAGGCUUGAAUCCGGGAGAGGAGAGUGGAAUUCCUGGUGUAGCGGUGAAAUGCGCAGAUAUCAGGAAGAACACCCGUGGCGAAAGCGGCUCUCUGGAACGGUACUGACGCUGAGACGCGAAAGCGUGGGGAGCGAACAGG